UGAUGUAUGAUACUGAUGCUGCCUGGAAAUACAAGUAUCUGAGUAUCAUUAGAUUUCAGAAGAAACUCCUGCACAGGUCCAGUUGACAGGCAGAUACACUGAGGUCAUCUUAAAGAAACAUGUCUGACGCAUGACUUCAUAAAACCACAUCAAUACAAGUACUACUGGUUACAGCGUCUCCAUCGAAGAGCAGGACAACCAGCGGCAGACAGAGACAACCACAGGUUCAAUGAGCAGCAGCCCGUCGGUCACUACCAUCUGUACCACGCUCAGCUGGACGUCUUUGAGAGGAGGAACGAGGAGGACGCUGCUCCUCCUGAGAGACAGCGGCGAUGUGAAGACCACGCCCCUCGUCCUGCGGAGCCGUAUCAGCUCGUGGCGAGAGCUCGUCAUGAAUACCUGCAGAGGAGACUGGAGGCAAACGAGUACAAGCUGAGAGCAGAGAAACAGCUGGGUCUGCGUCCCUGCACAGCCGAUCACCACAGGAGGCCUGGAGGUCAGGAGCUGGACGCAGGACGACCCGAGAACCAACACACAGGUCAGGACAGAAGACAGGAAGGACAACAGG